rnacentral:rRNA from 1 species
GUCCACGCGGUAAACGAUGUCAACUAGCCGUUGGAAGGGUAAUCCUUUUAGUGGCGCAGCUAACGCACUAAGUUGACCGCCUGGGGAGUACGGUCGCAAGAUUAAAACUCAAAUGAAUUGACGGGGGCCCGCACAAGCGGUGGAGCAUGUGGUUUAAUUCGACGCAACGCGAAGAACCUUACCUACUCUUGACAUCCAGAGAACUUGGCAGAGAUGCCUUGGUGCCUUCGGGAGCUCUGAGACAGGUGCUGCAUGGCUGUCGU